CGGGGCUUAAAGUCUUGUAAUUGGAAUGAUGGGAAUUUAAACCUCUUCCAGAGUAUCAAUUGGAGGGCAAGUCUGGUGCCAGCAGCCGCGGUAAUUCCAGCUCCAAUAGCGUAUAUUAAAAUUGUUGCAGUUAAAAAGCUCGUAGUUGAAUUUCUGCUGCAUUGAAUGUGUCCCUCUGGGGUCUGUGCAUGUGGCUUUUUUCGGACGGAGUUUCUUUGUCUGAAUGUUUACUUUGAGAAAAUUAGAGUGCUCAAAGCAGGCUUUCGCCUUGAAUAGUUUAGCAUGGAAUAAUAAAGUAGGACUUUGGUUCUAUUUUGUUGGUUUUAGGUACCAAAGUAAUGGUUAAUAGGAACAGUUGGGGGCAUUCGUAUUUAACUGUCAGAGGUGAAAUUCUUAGAUUUGUUAAAGACGAACUACUGCGAAAGCAUUUGCCAAGGAUGUUUUCAUUAAUCAAGAAC
rnacentral:rRNA from 1 species